AGAGGGGUUGAGUCAAGAUGGCGGCCUGGAAGUAGCUCCUGCGCGCUGCUCUCACAGGGAGGAGACAAAGGGCUGGUGAACACUGACCCUACAAGCUGAUAUCUAAGAAACCGUGUCGGACUCGAUCAAGGCAGCAAGCCGACACAGAGAACAGAGAGGAGUGCAGCUGGGCAGCAGCCUGUCUGGGAUAAACGCGGAGCCAGGAGAAGCUCCCCAACACAGGAAAGGGAUUUGAACAACUUGCAAAUACACCAUGCUGGACACACUAAGAUAAGCAAAAUCAAAAUCCCAUCUAGGAUAUCAUAUCACAUUGAGAUGUCAAGUUUCCUUUGGCUGUUCUUGGCUGUGGCAGUUUCUCAGACUUCUGUAGUUUUUGGUAGACAUCAUUCAAUCUAUUGAUAGUCUGAAAUAGAAGAAGACGAUGGAGAAAGGUUGAAUUCUCCCUCUCUGCAUGACAGUAUGAGCUGGAAAACUGAUCUUUCCCUGCCCUUGGAGCUCCUGGUUCUCAGACCUUCAGACUGGAACUGUCACAGUUCCCAAACUCCAAACUCCAAAAG
rnacentral:lncRNA from 1 species